GAUGAACGCUGGCGGCGUGCCUAAUACAUGCAAGUCGAGCGAACAGACGAGGAGCUUGCUCCUCUGACGUUAGCGGCGGACGGGUGAGUAACACGUGGAUAACCUACCUAUAAGACUGGGAUAACUUCGGGAAACCGGAGCUAAUACCGGAUAAUAUAUUGAACCGCAUGGUUCAAUAGUGAAAGACGGUUUUGCUUACACUUAUAGAUGGAUCCGCGCCGCAUUAGCUAGUUGGUAAGGUAACGGCUUACCAAGGCAACGAUGCGUAGCCGACCUGAGAGGGUGAUCGGCCACACUGGAACUGAGACACGGUCCAGACUCCGACGGGGGGCAGCAGUAGGGAAUCUUCCGCGAUGGGCGAAUGCCUGACGGAGCAACGCCGCGUGAGUGAUGAACGUCUUCGGAUCGUAAAACUCUGUUAUUAGGGAAGAACAAAUGUGUAAGUAACUAUGCACGUCUUGACGGUACCUAAUCAGAAAGCCACGGCUAACUACGUG
rnacentral:rRNA from 1 species